rnacentral:rRNA from 1 species
AAUCAACGCUGGCGGCGUGCCUCAGACAUGCAAGUCGAACGAUUAAGACUCCCUUCGGGGAGUGCAUAAAGUGGCGCACGGGUGAGUAACACGUAAGUAAUCUACCUUCGAGUGGGGAAUAACGUCCGGAAACGGGCGCUAAUACCGCAUAACGCAGCGGCAUCGCAAGAUGACAGUUGUUAAAGGAGCAAUCCGCUUGAAGAGGAGCUUGCGGCAGAUUAGCUAGUUGGUAAGGUAACGGCUUACCAAGGCUACGAUCGGUAUCCGGCCUGAGAGGGCGGUCGGACACACUGACACUGAAUAACGGGUCAGACUCCUACGGGAGGCAGCAGUCGGGAAUUUUGGGCAAUGGGCGAAAGCCUGACCCAGCAACGCCGCGUGAGGGAUGAAGUAUUUCGGUAUGUAAACCUCGAAAGAAUAGGAAGAAUAAAUGACUGUACUAUUUAUAAGCUCCGGCUAACUACGUGCCAGCAGCCGCGGUAAUAC